CGCCGCCGAGGGAUGGCGGCCUCCCCUCAGAGCGCCCUCACGCCCUUAAAGGGGCAAUGCUCCCUUGGCAGCGGAGGAGCCCUAGAGCGGGAAAGCCGCGGCCCGUUUAAGCCGCGGUUGCCGGCUCGGGCGCAGCGCACGGCCAUGCUGCGGAGCCGGUGGCUGCUGUCGGGCGCCUCGCUGGCCCUGGGCGCGGGGCUGGGGGCGGCCCUCACCGCCCGCCGCCGGCCGCAGGGCGAUGGUGCGGAGGGGCUGCUGGCCCGCCUGCCCGUGGUACCCACCGUGGCGGCGGCGGCGGCCGUGGGUCCGCCGGCGCUGCCGGGUUCCAGCGAGCUGACCAAGUACGGGCUGCCCGGGCUGGCGCAGCUGCGGAGCCGCGAGUCCUACGUGCUUUGCUACGACCCGCGGAGCCGCAGCGCGCUGUGGGUCAUCGAGCAGCUCAACCGGGAGACCCUCAGCGGCACCUCCGACCGCGCCGCCUGCGAUUUCCAAGAGGACGAUACGGUUCACGAAUACCACCGAGCCACCAACGCCGACUACCGAGGCAGCGGCUUCGACCGCGGGCACCUGGCCGCCGCCGCCAACCAUAAGUGGAGCCAGAAGGCCAUGAGGGACACCUUCUACCUCAGCAACGUCGCCCCGCAGGUUCCUCAUUUAAACCAGAAUGCCUGGAAUAACCUUGAGAAGUACAGCAGAAGCUUGGCAAGGAACAACAAGAACGUCUAUGUCUGCACAGGACCCCUUUACCUGCCCAGGAUGGAGGCCGAUGGGAAGAUGUACGUCAAGUACCAGGUGAUUGGGAAGAACAACGUGGCCGUCCCCACCCAUUUCUUCAAGGUGCUCAUCCUGGAAAAGGAGAGCGGGGAGAUCGAGUUGCGCUCGUACGUGAUGCCCAACAGCCCCGUGGAUGAGAAAAUCCCCCUGGAACGGUUCCUGGUUCCCAUCGAGAGCAUCGAGCGAGCCUCAGGGCUCCUCUUUGUCCCAAACAUCUUGAAGAGAACAAGUAACUUGAAAGCCAUCACAGCUGGAAGCAAGCGUUGAACCUCAACUAAACAAAUCCAGGUAUCCCCUGGAUUCAGGGACUGAUAGCAGAAUAAUAGCUCCUUGGGCAAUUUUAAAUGUGGGAAAUAAGAAUCAAACCGAUGCUUCUCUUUACCCUUCCUCUCGCUUCGUGUAACGGUGAAUCACGCACACACAGCUCCCACAGGCUCUGCAGAAGGCUCCCAGGCACUUGAUGUUGUAGCAGGUGUCUAGACUUUGCCCCUAAUCUGCUCCUGUAAUUGCUCCCUUUGAGUUGUGUGACUAAUUAAGACACAAAGGGAAGUUACUUAAUUGCUAUUUAGCAAGGAAGGACAGGAGCAAGAUGGGUGUAGUUGGGAGGAGAGGAGAGGUUCCUGCCUUCCUGUGGCCAAAGGAUUGUAUGAUUGUUUUCUUUCAGAAGAUGGUUUUAGCAGUAAAGCUUUGAACACCCACA